UACGUAGGGUGCAAGCGUUGUCCGGAAUUAUUGGGCGUAAAGAGCUCGUUGGCGGUCUGUCGCGUCUGCUGUGAAAACUCAGGGCUUAACCCUGAGCUUGCAGUGGGUACGGGCAGACUAGAGUGCGGUAGGGGAGACUGGAAUUCCUGGUGUAGCGGUGAAAUGCGCAGAUAUCAGGAGGAACACCGGUGGCGAAGGCGGGUCUCUGGGCCGAUACUGACGCUGAGGAGCGAAAGCGUGGGGAGCGAACAGG
rnacentral:rRNA from 1 species